UCUCAUUUUCAAAAAAAAGGGAGGCUCUUUUCUCUGCAGGUACUUUUCGGCCGAUCUAAAAGCAGGUACUUUUCUUGUUUUCUUUUAACUCUAUUUGUAUAUAUAAAUGUAUAUGCUGUGUAAAAAAAGUUUGUAAUGGAUACGUGUUUUCGAAAUGAUAGAAAUAAAUAAAAAGACCUUGGAUCUGUUUCUGCCUUUUUGCUUCAAUUUGUUGCUCCCUUUCUUUUUAUUUUUAAAUGGUGUGCUUACAAAAGGAAAUAGAGGAAGUCGACCCCUAAAAUGAUAGCCAAGUUCGGCUUUUAUACAUCUCUUUCAUUGCUAGUGCUGUCGUUUCUCUUUAAAUGUUUGCAGGUACUUGAUGUCAUGACAAUGGCGGUGGAGCAGAGGCGAGAGGAGCGCGGCGCAAGUGGGGCACUAGGGUUUCAGUCUCUGAAAUCCUAGUCUCACGUGGGCUUAUCUUAUUGGGCCAUGGUGCUGGGUUAAUUUUGUAAAUGGGUUAGGAGGGAUUAGGUUUUUCUAGGGUUUGGGCUGAUUUGGGUGUUGGGCUGGGGUAAAUUUUGGGCUUUGUACAAUACAUAUAUAAAUAAAUGAGUGAACAAAAAUAACAAAAUCAUACGAUUAUAAAAGAUAUAUAAACAUAUAUAUAUACGUAUUGUAAAAACGUAGGCAUAUAAAUAUAAAAAUUUAAAAUGAGCAUAUAAAUACAUACAUGCAU
rnacentral:lncRNA from 1 species